rnacentral:rRNA from 1 species
ACGCUCGACACCUACGGGGGCAGCAGUGAGGAAUAUUGGUCAAUGGACGCAAGUCUGAACCAGCCAUGCCGCGUGCAGGAUGACGGCUCUAUGAGUUGUAAACUGCUUUUGUACGAGGGUAAACGCAGAUACGUGUAUCUGUCUGAAAGUAUCGUACGAAUAAGGAUCGGCUAACUCCGUGACAGCAGCCGCGGUAAUCUGAGCGGGCUGGCAAGGC